rnacentral:rRNA from 1 species
ACGCUGGCGGCGCGCCUAACACAUGCAAGUCGAACGGAGCUUAGAGAGUUUGCUUUUUAAGCUUAGUGGCGAACGGGUGAGUAACGCGUGAGUAACCUGCCCUAGAGUGGGGGACAACAGUUGGAAACGACUGCUAAUACCGCAUAAGCCCACGGUACCGCAUGGUACUGAGGGAAAAGGAUUUAUUCGCUUCAGGAUGGACCCGCGUCUGAUUAGGUAGUUGGUGAGGUAACGGCCCACCAAGCCGACGAUCAGUAGCCGACCUGAGAGGGUGACCGGCCACAUUGGGACUGAGACACGGCCCAAACUCCUACGGGAGGCAGCAGUGGGGAAUAUUGCACAAUGGGCGAAAGCCUGAUGCAGCGACGCCGCGUGAGCGAAGAAGUAUUUCGGUAUGUAAAGCUCCUAUCAGCAGGGAAGAUAAUGACGGUACCUGACUAAGAAGCACCGGCUAAAUACGUG